rnacentral:rRNA from 1 species
CCUACGGGAGGCAGCAGUGAGGAAUAUUGGUCAAUGGACGAGAGUCUGAACCAGCCAAGUAGCGUGAAGGAUGACUGCCCUAUGGGUUGUAAACUUCUUUUAUAUGGGAAUAAAACGUUCCACGUGUGGGAUUUUGUAUGUACCAUAUGAAUAAGGAUCGGCUAACUCCGUGCCAGCAGCCGCGGUAAUACGGAGGAUCCGAGCGUUAUCCGGAUUUAUUGGGUUUAAAGGGAGCGUAGGUGGAUUGUUAAGUCAGUUGUGAAAGUUUGCGGCUCAACCGUAAAAUUGCAGUUGAAACUGGCAGUCUUGAGUACUGGAGAGGCAGACGGAAUUCCUAGUGUAGCGGUGAAAUGCGUAGAUAUUAGGAGGAACACCAGUGGCGAAGGCGGUCUGCCGGACAGCAACUGACGGUGAGGCGCGAAAGCGUGGGGAGCAAACAGGAUUAGAUACCCUGGUAGUC